UACAGAGGGUGCUAGCGUUGUUCGGAAUCAUUGGGCGUAAAGGGCUCGUAGGCGGUUUGUCGCGUCGGGAGUGAAAACCUUGGGCUUAACUCAGGGCUUGCUUUCGAUACGGGCAGACUAGAGGUAUGCAGGGGAGAACGGAAUUCCUGGUGUAGCGGUGAAAUGCGCAGAUAUCAGGAGGAACACCGGUGGCGAAGGCGGUUCUCUGGGCAUGAUCUGACGCUGAGGAGCGAAAGUGUGGGGAGCGAACAGG
rnacentral:rRNA from 1 species